CCAAGCUAUGAAAGGCCAACGGUGGAUGCCUUGGCGCCAGAUGCCGAUGAAGGACGUGGGUGGCUGCGAAAAGCCACGGGGAGCUGCCGACCAAGCUUCGAUCCGUGGAUCUCCGAAUGGGGAAACCCGGCUGGGGUCAUGCCCAGUCACCCCGGCCUGAACACAUAGGGCCGGUGGAGGGAACCGGGGGAAUUGAAACAUCUCAGUACCCCGAGGAAGAGAAAGCAACAGCGACUCCCUGAGUAGCGGCGAGCGAAACGGGAUGAGCCUAAACCGUCGUAGUGGUACAGCCUGCCGGCGAUGCUGCGACGGGGUCGUGGGACCCACCUGGGGCAGCGGCAGACGCCCCGAGGAGUUACAAAAUCGAUGGCUAGCAGAAUCACUCUGGAAAGGUGAGCCGCAGAGGGUAAGAGCCCCGUACGCGAAAGUCAUCGAUCUCCUGGUGGUGUUCCCGAGUAGCACGGGAUCCGGGAAAGCCCGUGUGAAUCUGCGAGGACCACCUCGUAAGGCUAAGCACAAGCUGGCGACCGAUAGCGCACGAGUACCGUGAGGGAAGGGUGAAAAGUACCCCGGGAGGGGAGUGAAAUAGUACCUGAAACCGUUGGCCUACAAGCAGUCAGAGCGUCGUCGUCGAGUUUCGGCUCGGCGGCCGUGAUGGCGUGCCUUUUGAAGAAUGAGCCGGCGAGUUACCGUCUGUGGCAAGGUUAACCCGAGAGGGGGAGCCGGAGCGAAAGCGAGUCUGAACAGGGCGUUCAGUCGCGGGCGGUAGACCCGAAGCCGAGUGAUCUAUCCAUGGGCAGGCUGAAGCGAGGGUAAGACCUCGUGGAGGGCCGAACCCACCAAGGUUGAAAACUUGGGGGAUGACCUGUGGUUAGGGGUGAAAGGCCAAGCAAACUCGGUGAUAGCUGGUUCUCCCCGAAAUGCAUUUAGGUGCAGCGUCGUGCGUUCAGUUCCGGAGGUAGAGCACUGGAUGGUCUAGGGGGCCUACAAGCUUACCGAAAUCAACCAAACUCCGAAUGCCGGUACUCCAGAGCACGGCAGUGAGACCAUGGGGGAUAAGCUUCAUGGUCGAGAGGGAAACAGCCCAGAACGCCAGCUAAGGCCCCAAAUUCUGUGCUCAGUGGCAAAGGAUGUGGGAUUGCCCAGACAGCCAGGAGGUUGGCUCAGAAGCAGCCAUCCUUGAAAGAGUGCGUAACAGCUCACUGGUCGAGUGAUCCUGCGCCGAUAAUGUAACGGGGCUCAAGCACAGAGCCGAAGCUGCGUCAUCGUGCGUUUCGGCGCACGUUGGGUAGGGGAGCGUCGAUCUCUGCGGUGAAGCGGCUGCGCGAGCAGACGUGGAGCGUGGUCGAGUGCGAAUGCCGGUAUGAGUAGCGAAAGAGGGGGGAGGAACCCCUCCGCCGAAUGCCCAAGGGUUCCUGGGGAAGGCUCAUCCGCCCAGGGUUAGUCGGGAGCUAAGGCGAGGCCGAAAGGCGUAGUCGAUGCACAACAGGUUGAUAUUCCUGUACCACCGUGUCCGCGCCCAAUCCAAUGGGAAUCGAUCAGGGGCUGAUCUACGGAUCGAGCCUGUCCCGGUUCCCUGACGGGUAGCGAAGGGGGGACGCAGGAGGGUAGGUCAUCCCGGGCGCUGGUUGUCCCGGGGUAAGCGGGUAGAGGGUCCGAUAGGCAAAUCCGUCGGGCGCAACCUCGAGACGCGAUGCCGAGCCGUUUCAGGCGAAGUGACCGGUCCCACGCUGCCGAGAAAAGCCUCUAGUGAGCUGGCACGGUGCCCGUACCCCAAACCGACGCAGGUGGGCACGUAGAGAAUACGAAGGCGAUCGGGAGAACUCUGGUUAAGGAACUCGGCAAAUUGCCCCCGUAACUUAGGAAGAAGGGGGGCCUCCGUAGGGUGAAGGGCUUCGCGCCCGGAGUCUGAAGAGGCCGCAGAGACCAGGGCCAAGCGACUGUUUACUAAAAACACAGGAGCGUGCGAAGUCGCAAGACGAUGUAUACGCUCUGACGCCUGCCCGGUGCCGGAAGGUUACGGGGAAGGGUUAGCCGCAAGGCGAAGCUCUGAACCUAAGCCCCGGUAAACGGCGGCCGUAAAACCGUUGCGGCUCUCGUGGGGUGACCCGCGAGAACAAACUCUGCUAUAUGCUGGAAACCCCGUGUAUCCGGCGGUACUCGCCCAUGCCUGUCACACCCUCUCCGUACGGUGUGUGCGUGGGCAGUGACAAUCCGUCCGGUGCGGACAAUCAGCAGGAAAGGCCCAGUUCCUCAGCCUGGCUGGAUGCAAUCCCGCACGACCUCGGUCAUUACAUCGCGGGAUUCGUCGACGGAGAGGGAAGCUUCAACGUCCCGAUCCGUCGUGAGCGUGAUCGCGGAUUGCCGUUCCGCGUCUCGGUGUCGUUCAACGUCUCGCAGAUCGGUCCGGAAGCCCCAGAGCUUCUGCGGCGGAUCUUCGGGGUGGGGACGGUGCGAGGCCGCGGUGACGGGGUCUUCUACUUCGAGGUGACCAAGCCGGCCGACCUCGUCGAGCGGGUCUUCCCGUUCUUCGAUCGGUUCGAGCUUCGUGGCCCGAAGGCGGGCGACCUCGCGGUGCUCCGCCAGAUCACCGAGCUCGUCCGGUCAGGACGUCACCUCACAUCGCAGGGAAUCGGCGCGAUCCUCGCACUGCGGGGACCGAUGAACCGCGGUGGCAAGCGGCGACGCAGCGAUGACGAGAUCAUCGCCGCGUUGAGGGAUUGGGAAUCCUCAGAGGCCAUACGCAGAGCUCCCUCGUUGAAGCCGAGGGAUGAAGAUAUGGUCCACGCCUCAUAGCGAUAUGGGGAGACCCGUGAACUAUAACGGUCCUAAGGUAGCGAAAUUCCUUGUCGGGUAAGUUCCGACCUGCACGAAUGGCGUAACGACUUG
rnacentral:rRNA from 1 species